GAUGAACGCUAGCUACAGGCUUAACACAUGCAAGUCGAGGGGCAGCACGGAGAUAGCUUGCUAUCUUGGGUGGCGACCGGCGCACGGGUGAGUAACGCGUAUCCAACCUGCCCAUUACUCUGGGAUAGCCUUGCGAAAGUAAGAUUAAUACCGGAUGUUGUUAAAAACCCGCAUGAGUUUUUAACCAAAGAUUUAUUGGUAAUGGAUGGGGAUGCGUGACAUUAGGUAGUUGGUGAGGUAACGGCUCACCAAGCCUACGAUGUCUAGGGGUUCUGAGAGGAAGGCCCCCCACACUGGAACUGAGACACGGUCCAGACUCCUACGGGAGGCAGCAGUGAGGAAUAUUGGUCAAUGGACGAGAGUCUGAACCAGCCAAGUAGCGUGCAGGACGACGGCCCUCUGGGUUGUAAACUGCUUUUAGUUGGGAAUAAAAAGAGGGACGUGUCCCUAAUUGUAUGUACCAUCAGAAAAAGGACCGGCUAAUUCCGUGCCAGCCGCCGCCGUAAGAC
rnacentral:rRNA from 1 species